CCCUUAGAUGUUCGGGGCCGCACGCGCGCUACACUGAAGGACUCAGCGUGUCUCUCCCCCUAUCCCGAAAGGGAUGGGCAACCCGUUGAACCUCCUUCGUGCUAGGGAUUGGGGUUUGCAAUUAUCCCCCAUGAACGAGGAAUUCCCAGUAAGCGCGAGUCAUCAGCUCGCGUUGAUUACGUCCCUGCCCUUUGUACACACCGCCCGUCGCUACUACCGAUUGGAUGGUUUAGUGAGACCCUCGGAUCGGUCCCGACUCGGGGUGGGCUUCUGCCCCGGUCGUGGUUUCGCCGAGAAGACGGUCAAACUUGACUAUUUAGAGGAAGUAAAAGUCGUAACA
rnacentral:rRNA from 1 species